GGAAUCAAGUGUUUAUACAGGAAGGAUGUACCCAAGGAUACGACAUGCUUGGGCUAGGUUCUUGAAUUGUAUGUUUUGUGUCACUACAAGGUAGAUUAUUCAAGAUUCACUAAACUUGAAGCCCUCUGUAAAUAAUAUGUUUUGGUUUAAGAGUUUUUUUUUUUUCAAUUUUCAAGUUUCAGCCUAGGAUAACUCUGGGUUUGUGGAUUGUUUGGUGGGUUCUCUCUGCAAGACCUUUUUUUUGUUUCAGAGAUUUGAUGGUUCAUGUUAAAUCAAAGUGCAUUAAUAAAAAAGGGUUAUAAUAGGUUGCAAUUUUUUCUGUUUCUAUGCAUUAAUUCAAUUAGUUUUUAAUGUUUCAAGAUUAAUGGUUUUGGAUUUAGUUUUGUUAGACUGGGGUUUAUGAGAUCUGAAUAUUGCUGUUUUGGUUAUCAUUGUUCCAAGAGAAUUAUUUCCAAGUUAAAAAGAUGAGGACUCCUUUUCUGCUGUGGGGUUCUUUUUGGUGGUCCAUCAUGAUAGGAGAUGGAGAUAAAGCUGAAAGCUGUGUUUAGGUUCCCAUGGCAAGAAUCAAUCACAAUCUUUUCUGAUCUUAUCUUUCUAAUAAUAGUAUAUUAGAAAGAUAAGCAUAUUCCAAUGAACAAUAAAAUGAUAAUGUUAUUUAAUAUUCUGGACUUUUGAACUGUUUUCUUACAACUUAUUGUCCUCAAAGAAAUGGGGGUAAACUCAUAAGAUUGAUUGAGUGUAUCAGAAACUAUAAAGAAUGAAAGAAUAUGGAAAAGCAAAAUGACACUUUUAAGUAUGGAAGGAGUAAGCACUUCAUGAAAUGUUUUCAGCUAGCAAGUGUGCAAGGCUUCAAGAACCAGAAAACAUCCAAAGCUCUUGCAGCUUCUUUUUCAGCAACAAUAGCAGCACCUCUCUGUCCUUGUUGAUUAUUAUUACUAGUCAUCAUCUUCCCUGGAUCUUCCUUUCUCUUCCCUUCAUUGCUGCUUUGUUCCAGUUCUUGAAGGAUCCCCCUUGUCUCCUAAUGUUUAUUUCAUACAAAUUCAGUGUUAUUAGUCCCAGGAUUAUUUUGACCAACAGUUCAAAACAUUAAAAAUACUCUUUACUUUUUUAUCAGAACAAGCUAGUGGUGGUAACAACAGAAUAAGCCAUGUCUUAAUGAUCUAAAAUAGUGCUGAUUCUAGCCCAAGCUCAGCUCAAAUAUCAUAUGAAAUCGAAUCUUGAGGAUUAGUUGGUUGUAGCUAAAAUUGCAGACUGCACUGCACUGAAACUUUACAGAAAUAGACCCUUGGCCUAGUCUUAACUCGACAUGAUAAGUUAGCUCAUAAGGUAUUGCAAGGAGAUAAUGGACCAAACACAUCACAACAAGUAGAAAAUAACAGUUCAUAAUGAUGGACUCUGUAGCAUAGAGGGUAUUGUGUUAGUGAGGCUGAAAAUUUCUGAACAAGUAUCACUAUGCACAAAGUGAGAAGAUCACAGGCUACUACUGUCUGCGAGUCUUGAACUGCAAAAUUCAAU
rnacentral:lncRNA from 1 species